ensembl:lincRNA
AUCUCUCCACUCUUCACACUCAACUCCAGUUCUUGUUCACUCUUUUAGAACAGAGUCCAAUUCAGGGCAGAGGUUAAAUCAAUGCAGAAUAAAUUACCAGGGAGGCCUGGCUUCUACUGAGCCCUCACUAAAUGUAAAUGACUUUUUUCCUGACAUCCAUUGCCUAUUGCCACCAGUAACAGGAUGAAGAAAGUCCCCUGUGCUGCCAUAUCCUGACUGUCUCUAACGACCCCUGUGAUCUGUCUGACAGAGGAAUUUCUUCAGGAAGAGCCAGAGCAGCUUCUGCUCCUACAGGGCCAAUGUCCUAGGAACACUGGACAGACAUGCUGGACACCUGAUCCUCAGCCUCCUCAACCCUUUUCUGCAACUUUUCUUCUCCCACUCCCCUCCACCACACUUUGGACAGUUUUUAUUUGAGCGCAAUCAAAAGUGUGUGUUAAGGGUAAAUUCUUGUAUUUACAAGUGGUAUUCAUUCUCAGUGAAUGAAACAGAAAUGGGGGAUGGGCCAGUGGACCUACCAUGUGGGAAGCCUCUGCCCUGCACAAAGGCCUCUUUGCCUGUUUUUGUCCAGUUGACACUGAGGACUCACUACUCUUAGGAGACUCAGAAGAGUCCCUGCUCCGGUGCCCAGCUACAAAUUGAUUUUGAUCCCAAUAGAAAAGUCAAA